ACUGGCCAAUAUUGUAUUACAAAAACAAUUGAAUUUAUAAACUAAUAAAGUAACCGGGGGCGGGAAAAUAAGCGCAGUUUGCUGAUGAAAUCGCAAAGUUUGAGAGCCAAGCACGUGCGGCUCUUUGUGCGCCACCGCGAUAUGGAUGCCACUAUGGACCAUGGACUAUGUACUGUGGACAUGUGCCAAAAUGAACGAACAUAAAUGCGAACAUACUAUAUAUGCGUACGUAUGACCACCUGAAAGCCCAGCACGUAAUUGGCCAUUAACAGCGACCCGGCCACAAAGCACAAAGGACGACACUUAAUAUUUUUAUCCGCGAAAUUGAGAAAUUGAAUUAUAAAGUGCGAAAAUUGACUGCAAAUCUGAUGGAAGGCGUGUGGCAGCGAACUAAGCAUAAAUCGGGGACCCUGAGGUCGGACACGUUAUAAAAAUAAUCCCAAUAAAAUGCAUUUUUCAUGUCAAACGCCUGAGCCGGCGGAAUAACCUGAAUGCACGCACAGGACUUUACGGAAUUGCAUGCAAACAAACAGGAACAGCACCAUCAACUGCCACGCACAUGACUGCAGUCCAAAAAUUGUCCCCCGUGGAAGGGGAUGAGGUUCAUUUCCCCCCGGAGGUGUGGGGGUGCAGCGGUGAUUUUCCCGAAGUGCACUCUCUUCCUUAAGCAUUAUGUAAUAACAAAAACAAAAUCACAAUGGCAGUGCCAGUGCGGAUAAUCAAAUAGUCGAGAGGGCAAACAUUCAAAGCCAUUUGGCAAGCGAGCUCUCGUCGGCCAAGUAAACACAAAGAAACAGUCAUUUGACGGGAAAAGGGGGAUAAUGGAGGAGGUACUGCACAAAUCAGCCAACAAAUGAAGCAUUUCACUAAACAAGUGCGCAGCUGGAGAUGAUUAUACUGAGCAAAAUAAACAACGACAAAAGUAAAAAGCAGAGUAUCAAAAUUAUAAACAAGAAGGACUCUGCUUUUAAAGUAAGAAAAUAUGCUUUUAAGGCUUAUGGAUCUGGGUUUUUUCUUCAGUGUCCUGUCAAGGCUAAGCAGAUUUGUCUUGUCCACAAACUCAAUUUAUUUGCGUCUUAAAGCGUCACUAGCGUUAUAAAGCAAUAAAGCCGGAAAAAAGGA